CCCAGCUUCGUAAGCCAGGGAGUGGCUUGGCUACCCUUGUUGCUAGCACCCUUCAUCUUGAAAUUCUAUUUUAAGUGGCUUCUGGAAGGGAGGAAGUAACCUCUCACCAUAAAUAAGUUACAGAAGAUCCUAUUCUCUUCUGCCCUUUCUCCCCAGAUCUAGCUUCCAUGUUGUAAAAAAGCCAAGAGAGGUCCACAUGGAAAACAACCAAGGCCUCCAGCCCUCAGUCCCAGCUAAGCAACCAGUAUUAAACAGUACCAAAUUGCCAGCCCCUAGUCAAGCUGCCUCAGCUGAUGCCACAUGGAGCAAGAAAUACAUAAUGGAUACAUGGUCCUCUUGCAAUCAUCAGGGGAGACACCAAUAAGAAGCCAAGGAAGACAGAUAAAAAGAUGGAAAGUGCCUGGAUCCUCGACACUGUUGUGCUAUUCUGGAGAUCAGAAGUCUGAAAUCAGUUUGGCUGGGCUGAAGUCAAGGUGUCAACAGGGGCAUGUUCCCUCCAGAGGAUCAAGGAGAGAAUCCAUUUUCUUGCCUUUUCCAGCUUCUACAACUGCAUUCCUUGGCUCCUGCCUCUUCCCUCCAUCUUCAAAGCCAGCAGUGCAGCAUCUUGUUUCACUCCUCACAUUGUCUUCUUCCUCCGUGAUCAAGCCUGCUGCUGCCUCUCCCUUAUAAGAACAUUUGCCCUCUCCCUCUCCCUCUCCCCACGGUCUCCCUCUCCCUCUCUUUCCACAGUCUCCCUCUGAUGCCGAGCCGAAGCUGGACUGUACUGCUGCCAUCUCGGCUCACUGCAACCUCCCUGCCUGAUUCUACUGCCUCAGCCUGCCGAGUGCCUGAGAUUGCAGGCGCCCGCCGCCACGCCUGACUGGUUUUCGUAUUUUUUUGGUGGAGAUGGGGUUUCGCUGUGUUGGCCGGGCUGGUCUCCAGCUCCUAACUGCGAGUGAUCCGCCAGCCUUGGCCUCCCGAGGGGCCGGGAUUGCAGACGGAGUCUCGUUCACUCAGUGCUCAAUGGUGCCCAGGCUGGAGUGCGGUGGCGUGAUCUUGGCUUGCUACAACCUCCACCUCCCAGCCGCCUGCCUUGGCCUCCC
rnacentral:lncRNA from 1 species